rnacentral:rRNA from 1 species
UACAGAGGUCUCGAGCGUUGUUCGGAUUCAUUGGGCGUAAAGGGUGCGUAGGCGGCGCGGUAAGUCGGGUGUGAAAUCUUGGAGCUUAACUCCGAAACUGCAUUCGAUACUGCCGUGCUUGAGGACUGGAGAGGAGACUGGAAUUUACGGUGUAGCGGUGAAAUGCGUAGAUAUCGUAAGGAAGACCAGUGGCGAAGGCGGGUCUCUGGACAGUUCCUGACGCUGAGGCACGAAGGCCAGGGGAGCAAACGGGG